rnacentral:tmRNA from 1 species
CAGGCUAUACUGGAGUGAAGCCAUCCUGGAGGGGGCACUUCAGCAAAUUGUAAAAUUCAGGAUAAGUAUGUAGAAGCCUGGUGUGAAUGUUUUCGGACGCGGGUUCAACUCCCGCCGCCUCCACCA